rnacentral:rRNA from 1 species
GAAAGCGAUGCUAAUACCGGAUAACAUCAUAUUAACCUUGGUUUUUAUGAUCAAAGAUGACCUCUACAUGUAAGUUGUUGUUUGAGGAGGAGCCCGCGUACCAUUAGCUAGUUGGUGGGGUAAAGGCCUACCAAGGCUACGAUGGUUAGCUGGUCUGAGAGGAUGAUCAGCCACACUGGAACUGACACACGGUCCAGACUCCUACGGGAGGCAGCAGUGAGGAAUUUUGCGCAAUGGGGGAAACCCUGACGCAGCAACGCCGCGUGAGUGAUGAAGGCUUUAGGGUCGUAAAGCUCUGUCAAGUGGGAAGAACCUAUCCGGGAGUAAUAUGUCCGGGUAUUGACGGUACCACUGAAGGAAGCACCGGCUAACUCCGUGCCAGCAGCCGCGGUAAUACGGGGGGUGCAAGCGUUAUUCGGAAUCAUUGGGCGUAAAGGGCACGCAGGCGGCCUGGUAAGUCAGAUGUGAAAAGCCCGGGGCUUAACCCCGGAAGUGCAUUUGAAACUAUCAGGCUUGAGUAUGUUA